rnacentral:rRNA from 1 species
GAUGAACGCUGGCGGCGUGCCUAAUACAUGCAAGUCGAGCGAACAGAUGAGGAGCUUGCUCCUCUGGCGUUAGCGGCGGACGGGUGAGUAACACGUGGAUAACCUACCUAUAAGGCUGGGAUAACUUCGGGAAACCGGAUCUAAUACCGGAUAAGAUAUUGAACCGCAUGGUUCAAUAGUGAAAGACGGUUUUGCUGUCACUUAUAGAUGGAUCCGCGCCGCAUUAGCUAGUUGGUAAGGUAACGGCUUACCAAGGCAACGAUGCGUAGCCGACCUGAGAGGGGGACCGGCCACACUGGAACUGAGACACGGUCCAGACUCCUACGGGAGGCAGCAGUAGGGAAUCUUCCGCAAUGGGCGAAAGCCUGACGGAGCAACGCCGCGUGAGUGAUGAAGGUCUUCGGAUCGUAAAACUCUGUUAUUAGGGAAGAACAAAUGUGUAAGUAACUAUGCACGUCUUGACGGUACCUAAUCAGAAAGCCACGGCUAACUACGUG